CGUGAAUCUCCCAUCUCUUUUGCUGAAUUACAUAACAAGCUGUUAAGCAUGGAGGCUCAGAUUACUGCUCGUGCGCCGGACACCUCCGCCGCAUCUGAGUUGGCUUCGUCGGCUGCCUUCGUCGCCGGACAGCACUCCGACGGUAACCGUUUCGGUGGCCGCGGGCACGGCCGUGGCAGCCGUGGUUCAUCCUCCGGCUGCGGUGGUUACUCCAACAAUGGCCACUCUCGCGGGUACAAUAGGAAGUGCCAACUCUGCAGUGAAUUUGGCCACUCCGCGCGCCGCUGU
rnacentral:lncRNA from 1 species